rnacentral:tRNA from 1 species
GGCCGAUUAGUAUAGUGGUUAUUAUGUCUCCUUUACACGGAGAAGGUCGCAAGUGUUCGUUUGAUACCAUUCACGCGCGGUCA